ACUAAAAUAGUUUAUUUAAAAUUUUAAUCUUGUAAAUUAAAGAAGACUCCUCUUUUAGUA
rnacentral:tRNA from 1 species